GUCUUUUCGGGGACAUCCGGUAAAAUUGGAACGAUAUAGAAAAGAUUAGCAUAACUCCUACGCAAGAAUAACACACAUAAAUCGAGAAAUGGACCAAAAAGAU